rnacentral:lncRNA from 1 species
CCCCACCCCCAAGUUAUAAGAAAAGAAAUAUCCUUAUUAAAAGAUAUAAAUUUAAAAUCUAGGAUAAGAGAAAUACUUGGGAAUUAAUAGACACCCGUUGUAAGCUGGUCGGUUGGAGUCUGAUUGGGAUAUCCCCAACAGCAUCCAUACUAGUGGCCUCAUUUGUUGUUGGGAAACUCUCUAAUAGGUGGGCACGGAUAGCGAGUGGUGCAACUAAUGAUGCCGUGAGUUUGGUAUGCACACCCUUUUUUAUCUAGACUACCAACUUCAUAGAAGAAAGCAUAUCUCUCACCUCUUUCAAUAAAAUCUCUGGGAGGUAUACUCGAAUACAUUAUCCUUCCUCUUCUUUUACUCUUNNNNNNNNNNNNNNNNNNNNNNNNNNNNNNUGUGGGGUGUGAGGAUAUAAGUCAUCCCCCAUCUCCAUAAUCUCAAAAUCCUUAGCCUCUACUACUAUGGCCCUGCUAUAGAAGUCUAGGACUAUAGACUCCAUAUAAGCUGAUAACUCCACCAAGGAUAGCAAAGUCAGAGGUGGAGCUGUUACCGCUAGGAUGGUCCACUCUACAAAAUACUUGAUUGAUUCUUUUAGUAUGGCAAAGUCAGAAGUAAUGGCUCUUAUAGUAGGAGUCUGGGCCUCUAUAACUAGAGUUGUCAGGCUCUUCUAAUAUUUUAUUAAAGCCAUGACUGCAAUCUUUAUAGACUGGAUGAACCUAUAUACUACAUUGAUAGUUGGGAAAUUUGAGUUUUACAAUUGUUGCAUGAGAUGAUGCAUAUAAAUGGUUAUUUGGUAUAAAAUUGUUGCACCCUAUCUCUAAUCUUCUCCACGAUGAUCCACAGGAUAUUCAACUCUAAUUUAUCUAUGAAAGCAGCUACUAAGCCUGCAUUAGUCGUAUCUAAUCUAUUAUAAUUUGACAUGGGUGUAUUGUGUUUCCUUACCAUUAACCAUAAAGCUUUAGUAAUGAACUUCGGUCUAUGCUUGUUUAUUGUUGCCCCAUUGACCCAUGGGGUAUUUUUGUAUUUUCUGCAAUGUGGUCUGUCAAUCACCUACAAUGCAUAACUUUGUCAUCCAUGGUAUACUUCUUUACCUACUUCAAGUAAUUCAUCUAAAAAUUGUAUUCUAAAGUUUCCUCAACUGGCUCAAAGGUGUUAUCGAACAAGGUACUACAGACCACCUUGACUAUCUACCUCAUGGUCCAAGACAUUGAUAAUGUUUAGCUAAGGCUUCUUACUCAUGUUUUUUCCUUAAACAAGGAAGUCGUGUUCUUGAUAAUGACCAUAUAGUUUCCAUAUAAUUCCUUCACCAGCUCUAUCGUAUAGCUUUUGAGGCAUCCAGUUAUCCACCCUAACUAGUAUCUCACAAUCCCUUCACUAAUUAUGGGAUUUUCUAUAGAAAUUCUAGCAAAAUCUAGGGUUGUUCUUGAAUAUUCCUUUUUUACUGCCCCUGUCAAUCACUAUGGUCUUUUCCAUAUAGUUGUCCCGAUAGUUUUGUACAAUCCAGUAUCUCGAGUCAAAAUUCUUUUAUAGUGGGCAAUAGUAACACCCGUGGAGGAUUUGGGGUUGUAUUCAUCCUUCUCCUCUAAGGAACUCAUCUCCUCAUCUUGCUCACCCCCAUUUUGUUGUGUGUCUUGCUUCCCUCUUUGGACUGGGGAAGGAUGGCAAGGGUAGAAUCUUAUACUAUGGUGGUAAAUAUAGAAGCCUUGGCCUUCACAAACUCCCUGGACAUAGCUCUCAUAAUCCGAGGAGAGUGUUGUUCAAUUGACGGGCUAAUAGAAUAGUCCACCUCACUACCACUGGAGUUGUAUCAUUCACUCGCCGAUAUCGAAGGUGUGUCUUUAGGUACCCACUUCUUGAAGAAGUCCUUCUUCAGCUUGUUCUACGGCUUUUGUGCCAUUGAUCUUGCAUAGGUAAAGAUUAUGCUCAACUUUGAAGUGUAAAAUUAGUUUAAGGAAAUAACUCAAAUAACCCAUCCUAUGAUUGUGCAAUAAAGGUAUGAUCAUACCUUUCUAUCAUAAGAAAGGUUCCCCAAAAGUAAUAGGGAAUCAUCACAUCAGAUGAUUUAUUCCAAUGAUAGUGAAAUUAAGGUAUGAUCAUACCUUCCAAUCAUAGGAACAACCUUAAGUUAUUGAGGCUAUACCACAACGUACGAGCACAUACCACGAUUGACCUUGAUAGGACUAUCAUGGGAUGUGCUCAUAUGAUGAGCAACUUUAAUAGGGACACAGGUACCCCAUGACAAUCCAACCUAUGACCAUAUGCCGAUAUUAUAGUCAUACAUUGUGUUGUGGAAUAUGCUAACAUUUACCACUUUACACAGUAGACUUUUGACACUUUUAGACCCAUUUUUAGACCUUUGUCGACUAUAUUUUUAGGAUAAGAAGGGUACUUAGAAUUCCCAUGUUAUUCCAAUCAUCCAAACACACAACCCAUUUUAUGUUCAUACCUCAUUAUUAUACCAUUCCCCUUAAACCCAACUAUAUACACAUUUUAAUGUUAUUUAGACCUAUAGAAUCACUAUUCAAAUUGAAUAAAUACACUUACUUGAGUUGAUAUCAAAUUGGGUAGAAGAAUUGAGUGGGAGACUAAAACCCUUAAUUACAACUAAUUUUGUCUGAAUUCAAGGUAAGAAAUUUUUGCUAGAUCAUUAAAGGGUAAAGAAUUUUAGUUGUAAAUAAUUGGUAAUGAUAAAUAAGGAUAAUCGGGUCUCAAAUAUAGGGUUUAAGUGUUUAAACCCUAACUAUGUCAGUUCUAAUUAGGUCAUACUUAUUUAAGUGGAUUGAUCAAAUGAAUUCCUCCUAUGAUUAUGGUAUCAAUCCAUGAUUGUGACUACUUAAUGUACUAAGAGGGUUUAGAAAAAUUACCUAGGAAUCUAUGAGCCUUAAGGAAAAUUGUAGUAUGUAACCACUACCGUUCCUUAAAAUUCUAGGUUAGAUGUCCUGAAUAUGGGCUCCAAGGAGUUUAAUUAGAUGAUUGGCACUAUAAUGAUGACAUCUAGGAAAGAUUGUAAUGGACAAUCAUAGGAUAACUCCUAAAUAUCAUCCCUUUGGACUUUCAUGGUUUCUAUACAGAUGACUGAACCUAUCAUGACCUAAUUUCUCAAAUUAUGAUGGCUCCUAAUAUAACCCACCAUUAGGCAAGCCAAUCCUAUAGUCUAAAACUGCUAGUAAUGGACUACCCAAAGAAUAAAGGGAUGAAUGCAGAACAGAUGUAAUAAAAGACUAACAUACAUAAGGUAAUCCCAAAACUAGGUGGAAUUAGUACAAGAGUUUCUAACAUAAGAAGGAUAUAAAUGAGGUACUAAAUUAAUAUACAUAUACAACCAUCUCUAAAUAAAACGUAGAGACUAGUAUAGUACAUAAGAGGGAGAAAAACAGUACUCCGAUGUCAGGAGAUAACUCUAUGUCUUCGAACCUUGGCUGCUCCGCACAACACACACAACCCGAGCGAUAACCACUGGAUUUAAAAGUGGCCCAAAAUAUUGACCCACUAUGUUGUGAUCCUAAUAGCAGUGAAUGAUAUACCGCAUCGCGGUAAAGAGUGAAUCUAUUAUUGUCAAAUUCCAGAAUAUUAGCGCAAUUAUGCUGCUUAGCGAUCCUAUGGAAAUUGUCAUGGUAGGACUAUGUGGUUAGCAUCAAAAUUGGAAGAAAAGUGACUUGCUGAAUAAGGACAUUGUCGAAACCUAAUCCCAUUCGAUUUAUAACUUGCCUUCUGUAAAUAUAAUGUGUUAAAUCACGUUUUAAACAUCUUGUAACAUCCUAGAUUGAUUAGAACAUCAUUGGAGGCUACCACAACUUCUUGUUAGGUUUUUAUUUCCUUAAUUUAGCUUUCAUUAUGGUUUUCAUCCUUCAUACAAUUAUUUGGAUGAUGAUUAUGGUUGAUUUGCUUAUAAUUAUUGGUUGUUUGUUUAUUAUUUAUUUAAAUAUUUGAUUGAUUGAUCACCCAAAUAAUGUAUCAAUUGUCACCUUUGUGAUCUUAGGAGAGGUAAUCAGGAGAUAGAACAUAGAGAUGAACAAAGUAUGGUUGAAUUCUUGUAUGAAAGAAGGAAUUUAAAUUAGUGCCUAGGAUAGGGAUGUACAUAGGUGCCUUACUUGAUUCAAAUGUAGGAUGAUAGCUUUAAAAAACAUAAUUAGAUUAUUACACCCCCUCUCAACAAUGUAGUUGUAAUAUCCAAAUUAGGUAAACGGUUAGAGGUCGGAGAAAAUGAUCAUGAAAUUAACCCUACAAAUCAACAACCAAGAUAAGUAAGUUAACGAAUAUAUUUUAAUAACAUAGUAUGAUUGUUCAAAGUGCUUUAACCUCGGGCUUUCCUCCAUUGAUUGUUUCAACACUUCAGUUUACCAUUGAUUCCUUUACUUUAUUUUACAUAUAUUUAAGACUCUAUUUUGGUUACGCUUGCAUCAAUUUAAUCUAAUUUGUGAACUAGAAAAGAAUUAUUGUUGAGUCAACUCCCUGUGGGAUCGAUACUCGGCUUUCUUUAAGGCCACUUUACUACUUGAUAGACCACAUAUGCUUGUGUGUGCUCUUAGGUGCUAUCAAUAGACCCGUCACGACUAGGCACUGGUUUAGGUUAUGACAAACUUGGUAUAAAAGUAAAUUUUAUUAUUUUUAGGUGUAAAAAAAGCCGUGUCGAUUAGAUUUCUUUUUAUGGGUGUGUAGCACACCACACUUAUAAAGGGGAGCCUACAAGGCAUUUAGGAAUAUUCUCCUUUCUUAUGUUCUAUUUCGGGCUAUAGAUAUUGGUUGUCAUGAAAUUUCUCUAACUCCUGGCUAGCUCACUUUUCAAAUCAUGCAUCCCUGAAGAUUUGACAAUCGUAGAAACUCUAUUGGAACCUGAGUCCGACUAGGGGAAGAUGUAGAGGGAACUUGUAUUUUUAUAGAGUAUAGACUCGGUCAAGGUUCCUUGCUACUAACUGUACCACUCUACUCGGUCAAGGUUCCUUGCUACUAACUGUACCACCCUACUAGUCUCCUUAGGCUUUCCAAGAUGGUGACACUUAUGCUCAAUCGCCCCAAGAAGAUAUUUCUAAUACAGAGUUUCAUCAGUCUAUUUAAAUGUUUGCUCAAUUAGUGGAAUUGUAUUCUCGUUACUCUAAUUAUGUUAGUCUUGCAGUGAGUUCAUAUGAGGUUACUAAAGUUGGCUAAUUUAUUAUGUUGAAUCCCCAAACCCUUACACGCUCUAAGGUUGAGGAGGAUCCAUAGAGUUUUACUGAUUAGAUAAAGAAAAUCUUUAGGGUGAUGCAUGCUACUACUCCAGAGGAUGUGGAGGUUUUUUCCUAUCAGUUGAAAGAUGUAGUUUAUCAAAGGUAUGAGGAGUACGAAGUGAUGAAUGGUGAUAACACUGAACUGGUGGGGUGGGAUAAAAUUUUUAGGUUCUUUUGUUAUUCACUUCUUUCCUUAAGAGUUGAGCAAAGCCAAGGAUGAAGAGUUUGUGAACUUUAAUUAGGGUAAGAUGAGUGUUAAGGAGCAUGCCCUGAGAUUCCAGCAAUUAUCCCAUUAUGCUCGGUGUUAGUGUCUAACAUGAUAUCCAGAAUAAAGAAUUUUACUUCUUAUUUGAUUUGAUGUUGGAGUGUAAGGAUACUAUGUUGAAUAAUGAUAUGGACAUAUUCAUGGUGGUGUUUUAUAUACUGUAGGUGGAGGAUAAGAAAAAGAAGUAGGUAGAGAAGAGAGAGAGACAGAGUAAGAAGUUUAGAUAUUUAGAGAAGGGUGUAGGUCAGUAAAAGAGUGAGAGAGAUGGUAGGCAAUGGAAUAGAAAGAAGAAUUAGGGAACUUCAUAUUCAAUAGCUAGUGCUCUUUAUUCGAAACCAUGAGGUGACCGUUCUUUUCAAGCUAGCAGUGGUCCUAAGCCAUAGGGUGCCAAAUAUCAAGUCAGUGGAGCUCAGUAAGCCUCAUUUUUAUUUUUGGACUUUGUGGGCAUCUUCAUUAUGGAUAUUAUGAGGGGGGAACUUAUUUUUUAAUUAUGGUUAUCAUGGUUAUUUAUAGUAGAAUUGUCCUAUAGCUAAAGUUUCCACUGGGGCUAAUAAGGCCCCAGCCACCACUUCUUUGGCUCUGACACCUAAGGGCACUACUUCAAGUGCCGACAUUGGGUGGAAUCGUCUCUAUGAACUUUCGAUUCAUUAAGAAUAAGAGGUAUCCCCUAAUAUUAUCACUGGUAUGUAACAGUUGUUCUCUCAUUAUGUUUAUUAUUUUCAUUAUAUAGAUUCUACCCCAUCUUAUGUGACCGCUUAUGUGGUUGUAUAUCUUGGUUUUGGUCCUAAAAAUAUAUUUGACCCUUCACAAUCUCUAUCUGCUGGGUGAUUCCUUUGUUGCUAGAAAAAUCUAUUGAGGUUAUAUGGUAUUCACUUUUCAUAGAGAGACAUUCGUGUAUUUAAUAGAACUUGAUAUGGUGGAUUUUGAUGUAAUCUUGGAAAUGGAUUAGCUUCAUUUGUGUAAUGCUUCUCCAGAUUGUAGAACCCGAAAGGUCAAUUACCAUUUCCACAAUAAACUUGUGAUUAAAUGAGAGGGCAGUUCCUAAAUACCAAAAGGGAAGUUUAUUUCCUAUGUUAGAGCUCAAAAGUUGAUUUCCAAGGGGUGUCUGUAUUAUCUAGUUCAGGUUUAGCAUUAAAAUUCUGAGAGUCCCGCUUUACAAUCUUUCCAUUUAUUAAAUGAAUUUCCCAAACUUUUCCCUGAUGAUUUUCCUAGAAUUCCUCCAGAUAGGGAAAUAGAUUUUGGGAUUGAUUUUCUACCGAAUACCCAUCCCAUUUCUAUUCCUCCAUGUAGGAUGGCUUCGUCAAAGCUAAAGGAACUAAAGGAGAAAUCAAAGGAUCUUUUAGAUAAGGGUUUCUUCUGUCCUAGUAUUUUUCUGUAGGGUUCUACUAUGUUUUUCGUGUGAAAAAAGGUAGUUGUCUUUGGAUGUGUAUAGAAUAUAGUUCGUUGAACAAGGUUAUAAUAAAAAAUAAGUAUCCUCUUCCUAGGAUUGAUCAUCUUUUAAAUCAGCUUUAGGGUGCUAGGUGUUUCUCUAAGAUUUAUCUCUGUUUGGACUAUCACCAGUUGAAAAGUAGGGAGGUUGACAUUCCCAAGACCUCUUUUCGAACCCGGUAUGGACAUUAUAAGUUUCUAGUUAUGUUGGUUGGGUUGACUAAUGCUUUGGCUUUUUUCAUAGAUCUUAUGACUCAUUUCAGGAUUUAUUUGUUAUCAUCUUCAUUGGUGGUAUCUUGGUAUACUCUAAGACUAAGAAGGAUCAUGCCAAUCACCUCUAAAGUAUGUUACAAACUCUUUAGGACCAGAAGUUGUAUGCAAUAUUUUCUAAGUAUAUAUUCUGGCUAAGUGUUGUGACCUUUGUUUAGCAUGUUAUUUCUAAUGACAGAAUCAAGGUUGAUCCAUAAAAAGUUGUGGCAGUAAAGAAAUACCCAUGACUCCAACUGACAUUAGGAGAAUCUUGGGCUUGGUUGGGUAUUAUAGGAGGUUUAUGGAAAGUUUCUCAUCUAUCGUUGCUAUGCUAACAAUAUUCACUCAGAAAAAGGUUAUUUUUUUACUGUUCGAUGCUUGUGAAGGUAGUUUUGGUAAGUUGAAGGAUAAGCUCACUUUUGUGGUAGUCUUAACCCUACUCGAGGGUAUAGAUAGGUUUGUGGAAUAAUAUGAUGUGUCCCAUGUAGGACUGGGUUAUGUUUGGAUGACAUGUGAUAAUGUUAUGGCCUAUGCUUAUAGGUAGCUUAAGGUUCAUGAAAGGAAUUAUCUGACUCAUAAUCUAGAGUUGACGGCUAUGGUUUUUACUUUGAAGAUCUUUUUCUAUUAUUUGUAUAAGGUGUAUGUGGACAUUCAUUCAAGCCAUAAGAACCUGUAGUAUGUGUUCACACUAAAGGAAUUGAACCUUAGGUAGAGGCGGUGUUUUGAGCUACUUAAGGAUUAUGACAUGAGCCUUCACAACCAUCCAGGUAAAGUUAAUAUUGUGACUGAUACUCUUUGCAGGUUGUGUAUAGGAAUCUUAUCUCAUAUGGAUAAGGAUAACAAAGGGUUGCUGAAGGAUAUUAAUAGGUUGGCUAACUUAGGAGUCCUUCUCUUGAACUCUGAGAAUGGGGGAGUAAUUAUUCAAGAAGUGGUUAAAUCAUCUCUUGGUAAUGAGGUAAAGGAGAAGCUGGAUUGGGAUACCAUACUAAAGUAGAUUAAGGAUGAUAUGGGUCAGCAAAAGGUUAUAGUAUUUGAGAUUGAGGGAUAUGGCAUUCUGAGGAAUCAAGAAAGGUUGUGUGUUCCUGAUGUUUAUGGGCUACGCAAAAGGAUUUUUGAUUGAGGGUCAUAAGUCUAGAUAUACAGGUCAUUCGAGUUCAAUUAAGAUUUAUCAUGACCUGAAGAAAAUCUAUUGGUGGAAUAAUAUAAAGAGAAAUAUGGCAAACCUUAUCUCUAAGUGUAUGGUUUGUCAGCAAUUCAAGGUUGAACAUUUAAGGCCUUGUGUCAUGUCUCAAGAGAUAGAGUUUCCUAUGUGUAAGUGGGAGAUGAUCAAUAUGGAUUUUGUCACUGUACUUCCAUGGUCUUGCAAUCAGUAUGAUUCUAUUUGGGUCAUUAUAUAUAGAAUGACCAAGUCUGAUCAUUUCUUUCCUUUGAGGACUAACUACUCGGCAGAGGAUUAUGCCAAGUUGUUCAUUUAGGAGACACUUAAAGUGCAUGGAGCAUCAUUGUCUAUCAUUUUAAAUUGAGGUAUGCAGUUUACUUCUUAUUUUUGACAUUUUUUAGAAAUUUUAAGGACUAAUGAGAACCUUUGCAGCGCUUUCCACCCUCAAAUUGAUGUAAAAGUGGAUCAUACCAUUCUACCUUGAAGGAUAUGCUAAGGGCAUAUGUGAUACUCUUACUCAAUUUUCUUAGAAUAAUAACUAUCACUCUAGCAUCUAGAUGUCCUUUUUUGAGGCUCUUUAUUGUAGAAGGUGCAGGUCUCCUAUUAGAUGGUUUGAGAUAGGUGAGACUAGGUUGUUUGGCCCAAAUUUGGUUCACCAAUCCAUGGAUAAGGUGAAGGUGAUUAGACAAACGCUUAAGACUACUCAAAGUUUCCAAAAGCCUUAUAUAGAUGGAGGGAGUUGGAGAUUGAGGUUAAUGAUUGGGUUUUCUUAAAGGUUUCUCCUAUGAAAGAAGUUAUGAGAUUUUAGAAGAAAGGGAAGCCGAGCCCCUAUUAUAUUAGUCUGUAUCCAUAUGUGAGGAGAAUUGGGAAUAUCUCAUAUGAAUUAGACUUACCAACGAUUUUGUCUUUGAUUCAUCUUGUUUUCCAUAUGUCUAUGCUGAAAAAGUGUAGGGGUGAUCCAUCUUUGAUAGUGCCAGUUGAGGAUGUUGGUGUUACGAAUUCGUUAUCAUACAAGGAAAUCCUUGUUGAAAUUUUGGAUAGGUAUGUUUGUAUAUUUAGUACAAUACAAAGGAUACAUAUUUGGUGAAGGUUCUGUUAAAAAAUCAAAAGAUGAAAGAAGCUACAUGGGAAGCUGAGGAAGAUCUGAGGUCCAAUUACAAAUUUUUAUUCUCAACAAUGGAUGAAAGUAUUUAAGGUGCGAGUUUUAUUUCACUUCUUGUCACAUCUUGAAUUUGUUCUUGAAUUUCACUGUAUUCUUUCUAUUAUCAGGCUAAGGGUGUUCUAACUUCUUAUUCGGGGAUGAAUGAUUCAAAGGAGGGGAUAAUGUAACACCCCACAAUUUUAGACUAGAAUCAGAACCAUCAAUCCUAUGUGUAUAUACCCAAACCCAAUAAUUAUAUGUCAAUAUAAGUAUUAUGGUUAAUUCUUUAGUGUGGGAACAUCUUUGGUGAUUAAGUGAUAUCAUAAAAAAUUCCUAACUCAAAGAUGAGUUGAGAACUUUUCUAUCGAUUAAGUUUUUAGUGGAUUUACCUACAUGGGUCAAAUUAUAAUGAUCAUUACUUCUAGAAUAUAAUGAGUUGGGUGGCCUAAUAUAUCCCAAAUGAAAGUUCUUCGAGUCUUCUUUCCAACGCAUCUUAUUUUACCUUAAUCCUAUAUCGGAGUUGAAAGUUAUGCUUAUCUUACUUAGAAGUGUUUGUCUGCCCAAAGAUGAUGACUAAGUUGACGAGCUGUCAGCUAGGUGACGACUAAGGUGAUGAGCUAUCAAAUAGGUGAUGAUCUAUCAACCCAAGUCAUCAACCUUAACCAGUAAAUGGCAAAAUCGGCUAGAUAUUAAUGACUAGAUUGAUGAGUUGUCAACAAACUGAUGGCUUAUCAACCUAGUCGUCAAGUGAAGAAUACCUGUGAUUUUUUUCAUUUCUUUAGGGAUAUUUUGGUCUUUUCCUCACCCCAAACUCCCCCCCUACAAUUUAAACCAUUCAAUAAGCCUUGUAUUUUGAUGUUUAGUUAGUGUUUCAAUGCUUUAUCCUCUUUUCACUCUCAAGAGACAAAAGUUGGGGUUUCUUCCCCAAUAUUCAUAUUUCCAAGGCUCAGAUUCAGGUUGUCACAAAUUUGUUUCAUCUAAAAGGAAUUUUACUCAUCCUUAACUUGUAUUUUCACAUUGUGGGAUUUAUUUACUCAAUAUUCAUGUAUUUUGAAUUAUAGGUUGAACUUAGGCUGUAGGUUUUCGGUGGUUAACACUUGAACUGCUUAUUCUGGUGGUUAAUAUUUGAAUUGCUUAUUCUUUCUUUUAACUUGAUUAUUCAUGUUUUAACUGAUGGUUUUUCUGACUGAAUUGAUUUAUUAUGAUAUUGAAUGGAAUGGGUGAAAUGGAUUUCCCAAAUUGAUGGAUUUUUGUCUUGGUAAUGGCAUUAACCUCAACCCAACUUGUAAACUUGAUCCUGAAUUUAGAUAAUUCUAUGAUUUAACUUAUCUUUUAAAAACAUUUCAUUGCAUUAUAGGAUAAAUAGAUGAAAAUGGUUUUUGAAGGCCGUUGGUGGCCAUGGUUUGAUUUUAAAUGGAACUUGAGAUUUAAUGGUUAUAUGGAUUGGUAUGGAAUUAUUAUAUAAUCUUGCAAGCAUAUAGAUAUGACGAUAAAAUGUUGGUAAAUACCAUUAUAAGGACUCCUUGGUUUACAGUUGGGUUUAUGUAUAAAAUAUUUUAAGUUGGGAUUAAAGGGAACUGUGUAGCUCACCGUAAAGGUGUAGGUCCCAAAGGGACAAACCCUGGAAAUCAUGUUUUCUUGUUUGGGGGUUUAUGUGACCAUGUUAUUGGUGAAAAAAUUAUAUUUUGGAUGGCUAUCGCCUUGGUUUCUUUAGCCUUUCCUUGUUUCCCUUGAUUCAUGCAGCUACCAUGCAUUGGGCCCUUUCAGUAAAGGGAGCUGAACCCAUAUAGCCCAUGGGUAUCUUUAAGAUAGAGCGAGCUACAUAGUUCAGGUUAAUAUUUUAAACUCUCAUCAUCCCUAUCCCGACAUCCUAUAUAUGUAUAUAUAAAUGUUGUGAAUAUGGUUUUGAUUGGUUUUUGAUAUGUGCACUAUUUUAUCCCUUUCCUUUAAGUUACGUGCGAGUUCUCACCCCAUUAACAGUCCCUGGACAUUGUAUCAUUUUGAUGAUAUAGGGUCCAAGGGCCUUUCUGUUUCUCCUAUGCAGAGUUAGGUGAUUUGGUACUCUUGUGGAUCUGCUGUGAAGUGGUGAGACUCCAUCUUUUAGAAGUCUCGGUCAUUUCACUUAUUUCCUUUAUUUCUUAUUAUUUCUUUUUGUAUACUUAUGGUCAUAGUUGUGGGCAUGUCCCGACGUAGUUCGUAUUUCAGAUUUAGAGGCUUAGUGGAUAAUUAUUGGGUUGGUUUUUUUAUUCUUAUAACUUUCAUUUUGUUUAUCUGUCCUUCUUAGUAUCCUUUUUGGUUGGAUUUUAUUGUAAUUAUAUUAUGCUCUGGAGGUUAGUUAAAGGGGUAGUCUUCGACAUACGAUUCAGUUGAGAUACCCACUCCGACUCAGCCAAGGUUUGGGUCGUAACACCAUACUUGGUCGAAACAAUCUCUGAUGAAAUUUUUGAUGGUUCCAUAAAACAUCUAAUUUCGUAUGGUAGCAUAUUUUGUUUGCACGUACGAGAUUAUGAAGGAACUCGAUAACCUAGUCAAAGUCCAUUUAGAAAGUAGGAAAAUAUGGUGUAUCAGAUUACUGAUGCAACCGCUUAAAUGAUCGUAUUAUCACUUAAGCGGUCAUCGCAUAUGUUGCAUGGUGACUCUUAAGCGAUAUUGACUACUUCGUCAAUGGCUGCUUUAGUGAUGAUUGUAUAUGCUUAGCCAGGCAUUGCUUUAAUAGGCGAUGUGUUGUUUAAGUGAUACCCACCAGGCUUAACAGAUUUCUUAAGCAAUGCUGGAGCCUCUUAAGUUAUUAUCGCUUAAGCGAUAGGGUGACCACUUAAGCGGUAGAUGGUGGCUUUAAAUAUCCUUUCCCUAUACGAUUUUCUAAAAUUUCUUCUACAAUUUUACACCAGGUUGAGAUCUCAAAGAGAGAAAAGGUGAAAAAUCAUCCAUAUAAGUUAAGGUAAGCUAACCUAACUUUUAUUAGUGAUUUACCACUAAUUUUGCUUUCAAUUUCCAUCCUAAUUCAUUGUAAAAUUCUUAGAAAUUAGGUCUAAAAUUUGUAAAUUUUAAGGGUUGAUUUGAGACCCGAUUUGCGUUCCAUUUAUGCUCAACUUUUUAGCACACAUUCCUUGUCCUUCUAGUGACCUCAUGAUGGGCUGAAUUUUUGAUUCCAUUUGUGGGCUCUGCAGGCUUAUUUUUGACCCAAAAUUUUACCCGACCCAUAAUAUAGAAAUAUGGGUCUUAUUUUACUCCUAUGACAUGAAUUUUACUAUUUUAAUAGCACUACUGCAUUUUGGGAUCGUGGAGUGAAGACGGAUGAUUAUAACAUUAUAGUUUGGUAUUGAGGUAGGCUUUUGUCUACUUCUUCUAGAGAUGGUGCUUUAUAUAUGUUGCAUGUUAGAUAAGUAUGUUAGGAUGUAAUUGUAGGUAGAAACCGUGACUUAGCCUAAAUUAUGAGUUUGGGGGCUAGAAGGGUAAUUAACCCUUAAGGUAAAAUACUUAUUACACUUGUACUAUUAUAUUACCUUAGGUUGCUAGCAUGUUAGACAUAGUUGAGAUUAAUUAACCUUUAGUAUAUUGUUUAGUUUGUUACUAGGUGAUUUUGAUGGUUUUUACCCAAAGUAUGAUGUUAUAGUUAUGUCGGAUAUGUAUUAUUGGGCCUAAGGUCAAGAUUAGGAAAUGGGUUGGAUUUCAAGAAGUGUUUUAUCCUAGUAAAGGAAGUGGCCAUAAUUUAUACACAUAUUGAUACUUAUAAUCAUAUUAUUUUGAUACUGAUGAUGGCAUACAUAGAUUCGGUAAAUUCUAGAUCACCUAGAUGGUAAAUGGUAUGAUUCCAACUAAAAUAUGGUCUUACUACUCUUUUUCUAAAAAUGGAUUUAUUCCCACUUUUCACUUUUAAAAUGGAUUCCCUUAUAACGGAAAUCAUACCAUCAUAAUCAAUAGCUUAUGAUCCUUUAAGACUAAAAAUGAUGUUUCAUAUAUUUGACCGAGAUAGAUUUUGGUCCACAGUUAUGUUACUACUAUUUACCUCGAUUGUGAGAUAUUCCAAACUUUUCUACACUUUUAUGAUAAUUUAGUCCCAGAGUUAACCUUGGGAAAUAGAUUUAUUGACUUACACUCUUAUAUAUCUGGUACUAGAUAGAGUAGAUUAAUAAUGAUGAUGAUGGUUAUUGGAAAUCUUGGGUCAAGACUAGGUUAGUGUAAUACGGGUACUUCGAAACCCCUUAGGGGCUUCUCCAUCCUAAUUCUUGUGUUGGAGAAGAGAUGUAUCCAUAGGUACUUCCUUUGUGAUCUAUUCAUCUAUAGGAGGUAUAUACACUUUCUUACAUUAUGGUACUUGGAUCGGUUAUAGUAUUAUGGAUUUUCUUUCUUUCAUGAGCACUGCCUAUCACCAAAAUGCAACUUUAUCUAUCAGCCUUAUGGGGUUUCAUAGGUAUAGGUGAUGAGUAUUGAUUGAGGAAUAUUGUGUACAUGUUGAUUGGACCUUUUGAUUUAUGGAGCCCAACUUAGGUAUUAUUUGUUUGGGCUAGCUGAUUACUUUAUAUUGUUUUUUCUUAUGUUAGCUCAUGAUAGGUUGAUUAUUUUAUUUCGCAUGAUCAUCCCAAGUUUAGGCAUUAUGGUUUUAGAUCCUGAUUAUGUUAGCACUAGUUCCUAUUAUGAUUAGGAGGACUUGAGAAGAUAGUGCGAUUACUUAGGUUAUACCUUUGAUUUAGCCUUGUUUAUACAUAUAUAUCUAUAUACAUCUAUCUAUGUCCAGUUAUUGUAUUACCGUAUAUCCCUUUCUUCCUUUAUUUAUAGAUUUUGUUUAUCAAUUUCUUGGUCUCGUUUACUAUUACAUAUCCUUCUUUUGCUAUCUAUUCAUAUAUUGGCCAGUGAUAUAUGAUAUAGUGAUUAGGUUCUUUUAUAUGGCUAGAAUAGGAUAGUUUAUCCUUAUUAUCUCCUUAAUUUACUAUGUCAUUUGUUGGAUAUUUAGGUGUAGUUUACAUUCCUACGUGCAUGCUAUUUAUAUUUGUAUUAUCUUUGGAGCUCAGAUAGUAGUUGCCUACUGAUUAAUACAUAUUUAGUAUUCAUACUACACUUCUACAGUCUGCAGAUCAUAGUAUGGGUUUUUUCAAUUAUUGUUUGCAUUGUGCAGAGCAAUUAUGGUUUGGAUACAAAGGGUAAAAUCCUGCCAUUUAGAGUAUUAUUAUUCUCCCUCUUAUAUACUAUACUAAUCUCUAUGUAUUCUUUAGAUAUGUGUUGUACCAAUAUAUUCAUUUAGGACUUCAUGUUGUAGUCUUGUUACAUUAGCAGCUCUUGUACUAAUUCCACUAGGUUUUGGGAUUAUCUUAUGUAUUUUAGUAAUUUUCUAUAUUUAUUCAUCAUUCUUCCUUUAUUUCUCUUGGUAGUCUAUUACUAGUAGUUCAAAACGAUAGGUUGGCUUACCUACUGGUGGGUUAUAGUAGGUUUCAUCUUGACCUGAGAAAUUAGGUCGUGAAAAAUUUGUAUCAGAGCUUAGGUUUAUUGGUGUAUUGGUUCAAGACUAAGUGUCUAGUAGUGUCCUGCAGAUUAGUGCGGAGAUGCCCAAUAAUUGGUAGAAGAGUUAUAUGAGUUAAAAAGGUCAUGACUUGAUUUCAUGGUUGGUGAGUGGGUUCUAUUGAAGGUAUCACCCAUAAAGGGUGUGACAGAGAAGAAGGAUAACCUUAGACUAAGGCUUAUUGAUCCUUUUGAGGUUCUUUAAUGUGUAGGAAAGAUUGCCUAUAAGUUAUCUUUGCCUUUAGGUCUUUUAAUUAUGCAUCUCGUGUUUCAUGUUUUAAUGUUAAAGAAGUAUCGAUCUCAUGGCUCUUAUAUAAUUUAUAGGAUUUGAUUGAUUUGGAUCAAAAUCUAAUAUUUAAGGAACCGAUGGCCAUUGUGGAUAGGCAGAUCUAGAAGUUAUGGUGCAAGGAGAA